rnacentral:rRNA from 1 species
UACAGAGGUCUCAAGCGUUGUUCGGAUUCAUUGGGCGUAAAGGGUCCGCAGGUGGCCCGGUCAGUCCGCUGUCAAAACCUGGGGCUCAACCCUGGAGAGGCGGCGGAGACCACCGGGCUUGAGUCCGGUAGGGGCAGAGGGAAUUCCCGGUGGAGCGGUGAAAUGCGUAGAGAUCGGGAAGAACGCCAAGGGCGAAGGCACUCUGCUAGGCCUGAUUUCGCGACUGACACUCAGGGACGAGAGCCAGGGGAGCGAAUGGG